rnacentral:rRNA from 1 species
CCUACGGGUGGCUGCAGUGAGGAAUAUUGGUCAAUGGACGAGAGUCUGAACCAGCCAAGUAGCGUGAAGGAUGACUGCCCUAUGGGUUGUAAACUUCUUUUAUAUGGGAAUAAAAUGUUCCACGUGUGGGUUUUUGUAUGUACCUUAUGAAUAAGGAUCGGCUAAAUCCGUGCCAGCAGCCGCGGUAAUACGGAGGGUCCGAGCGUUAUCCGGAUUUAUUGGGUUUAAAGGGAGCGUAGAUGGGUUGUUAAGUCAGUUGUGAAAGUUUGCGGCUCAACCGUAAAAUUGCAGUUGAAACUGGGAGUCUUGAGUACAGUAGAGGUGGGCGGAAUUCGUGGUGUAGCGGUGAAAUGCUUAGAUAUCACGAAGAACACCGAUUGCGAAGGCAGCUCACUGGACUGCAACUGACACUGAGGCUCGAAAGUGUGGGUAUCAAACAGGAUUAGAUACCCUAGUAGUC